CCUACGGGUGGCAGCAGUGGGGAAUAUUGGGCAAUGGACGCAAGUCUGACCCAGCAACGCCGCGUGAAGGAAGAAGGCUUUCGGGUUGUAAACUUCUUUUAAGAGGGAAGAGCAGAAGACGGUACCUCUUGAAUAAGCUACGGCUAACUACGUGCCAGCAGCCACGGCAAUACGUAGGUGGCAAGCGUUGUCCGGAUUUACUGGGUGUAAAGGGCGUGCAGCCGGGAAGACAAGUCAGAUGUGAAAGCCCGCGGCUCAACCGCGGAACUGCAUUUGAAACUGUUUUUCGUGAGUACCGGAGAGGUCAUCGGAAUUCCUUGUGUAGCGGUGAAAUGCGUAGAUAUAAGGAAGAACACCAGUGGCGAAGGCGGAUGACUGGACGGCAACUGACGGUGAGGCGCGAAAGCGUGGGGAGCAAACAGGAUUAGAUACCCUUGUAGUC
rnacentral:rRNA from 1 species